GACCCUGUAGCGCAAUGGAUAACGCGUUGGACUUCUAAUCCAAAGGUCGUGGGUUCGAAUCCCAUCUGGGAUGGCCU